GAUGAACGCUGACAGAAUGCUUAACACAUGCAAGUCAACUGUGGCGGACGGGUGAGUAACGCGUAAAGAACUUGCCUCACAGAUAGGGACAACAUUUGGAAACGAAUGCUAAUACAUGAAACUGUGAGAGAGCUUUGCGUCCCAUUAGCUAGUUGGAGAGGUAACGGCUCACCUAGGCGAUGAUGGGUAGCCGGCCUGAGCGGGUGAUCGGCCACAAGGGGACUGAGACACGGCCCUUACGCCUCCGGGAGGCAGCAGUGAGGAAUAUUGGACAAAGGACCAAAGUCUGAUCCAGCAAUUCGGUGGGCACGAUGAAGUUUUCGGAAUGUAAAGUGCUGUCAGUUGGGAAGCAGUACCAACAGAAGAAGUGACGGCUAAAUACGUGCCAGCCGCCGCGGUAAUUC
rnacentral:rRNA from 1 species